rnacentral:lncRNA from 1 species
ACCCAACUUGACUCAGGAUGAAGAUAUAUAGAAAUAUGAUUCUCCGUUUUUAGGCUGGAAUACUAUCAAUAGCACCAAGUUAUUUGUGCUAUUAGUUCUUUAACCUUUGGGUUGAAAAAUGUGUGAUUAGGAUUAUGUGGGCCCCAUAGGGUUGAGUGAGUGGUUGGUUGAAUAGUAUAAUCUAACGGGUAAAAGUAAUCAAAGGGUUAAAUUUAACGGUGGAAAACUCGAUAGCAUCAAAUCCUUGUUGUUAUCGAUAGUAUCCCAGCCGGGCUCUUAUUAUAAUGUAGUUUUAGACUACAGGUACUCUAAUUUUUUCGCAAUCCCAAACAAAGCCUCGGUCAGUUUG